CUUUUCAUAUUAAGCAGUGCUGGUUUUUAUGCAGUUGCAUCGGUUAUAUGGUUAUCUGUAGUUAGAAGAAUGUUUCUGAUGUGAUAUUUAUAUACAUAAAUCGUAUGUGCUUGAUGUUGGACGUAAGGGUGAAAUUGUUUAAAUUUUAUGAACUGUUAUAUAAUUGAGAAAUACAUAUUAAUACGUAUUAAUCGUUUCUGUCAAGUAGUAGAUGACAUCGUUAGGAUGUGAUGACUUACCACUUGUGUGUACUUACUCUGCUACAUCUCGGAUAUCUUUUUGGAAAGUCACUGAAUCGAUCACAUAAACAAGACCUUUUGCGGAUAACUUGAAUUGAUCAAAAAAUUUGUAACGUAAACGUUCAUGUCCAGGUAUAUCAACAAUCUUUAAGGACCGCUAAAUAAAUUGAUACUUUAGAGGCCUAUGUUUCUGAUGUGUGUGUCUUAACAAAUUUAGAACAAAGUAGACGUGCAUAUAUCAGUGUUUUACCAGCAUCACUAAGACCAGUUAAUAAUAUACUGUUUCCUAUAGACCUCCUCUUGUGCCAUAUGGCAAAUAACACUAAGCAAAGGAAUAGAAUAGAAAUUUAUAUAAGUAGUAGUAAUGUUUAAGAUUGAGCUGUUAAUACCAAACAAAUGGCUCUACAGACGUAGGCUUAUGAAUUUUAGGAUAAAAGCCUAAGCAAAUAUUUACAUAAAAAUGUACCUAUUUUUAUAUUAUGUAUACAAUUACAAUGGUAUGUUUGUUUCAUUACUUGCAGCUAUAUCUAUAAUGUUCAUUAAUUACUGUGGCUAUAAUGAUAUACAUUUUUUUUAAACAAAUGAAUGUGAUGUCUGUAGAAUGUUAAAAAUGAAACUAUGAGAUUGUUCAUGUUAUUCAUGGACAUCGUUAAAAUAUAACAAAAACUAUUUAAUAAUACAUGUGCAAAUUUAAAGAGGGAUAUGCUCUGUUACUUUAUAUCUGUGAAUUUCACGUUGUAUAUAUAAUUUAGGAAUAUAAUUUAUCAAAAGCAUUUAGACAGAUAUAUUUUUCGUUUUACUUGCUACAAAAAAAGAAAACUGUGAUGUUAUUUUGAAUAAUGUGAUAAUAAAAUCAGAAAACCUAUUUCUCAUG